AACGAACGCUGGCGGCGCGCCUAAUACAUGCAAGUCGAGCGAGAAGGUGUAGCAAUACACUUGUAAAGCGGCGAACGGGUGAGGAAUACAUGGGUAAUCUACCAUCGAGUGGGGAAUAACCAACCGAAAGGUUGGCUAAUACCGCGUACGCCUCCGAGUCUUCGGGUUCGGAGGGAAAGCUGCACUGUGAGUGUAGCGCUCUUUGAUGAGCUCAUGUCCUAUCAGCUUGUUGGUAGGGUAACGGCCUACCAAGGCUUUGACGGGUAGCUGGUCUGAGAGGACGAUCAGCCACACUGGCACUGCGACACGGGCCAGACUCCUACGGGAGGCAGCAGUAAGGAAUAUUGCGCAAUGGGCGAAAGCCUGACGCAGCGACGCCGCGUGGGGAUGAAGGUCUUCGGAUUGUAAACCCUUCGGAGGAAGAUGGAACGAGCAAUCGUUCGGAUGGUACCUCCAGAAGCAGCCACGGCCAACUUCGUGCCAGC
rnacentral:rRNA from 1 species